GGGAUGUAACUGUAAGAUUUUCAUAACAUAGAAGAUGUAAGUGUUUAGUGUGAUUAAUUAUUGUCGAUAAUUAUAAAGUGUUUUGAGCUUUGACUAUCUCUAUUGAUAUAUUUUAAAAUUAUAUAUUUAAAAAAUAUUUAAAUAUGUAGUUUCAAAAUUUAUUUAAAUAUAAUAAAUAAUAGAAUUACUUAAUUAGAGGUUUAAUUAAUUAUAAAAUUAACUAAUGAUUCACAAGUUAUCAAAUCGGCUUAAUAUAGAGGAGCAAGACUACAA
rnacentral:lncRNA from 1 species